rnacentral:rRNA from 1 species
UACGGGGGAUGCAAGCGUUAUCCGGAAUUAUUGGGCGUAAAGCGUCCGUAGGUGGUUUUGUAAGUCUGUUGUCAAAUCGCGAGGCUUAACCUCGUACAGGCAGUGGAAACUAUAAGACUAGAGUGCGGUAGGGGUAGAGGGAAUUUCCAGUGUAGCGGUGAAAUGCGUAGAUAUUGGAAAGAACACCGGUGGCGAAGGCGCUCUACUGGGCCUGCACUGACACUGAGGGACGAAAGCUAGGGGAGCGAAAGGG